GUUGUGGCUCAGUGGUAAAGCACUUGCCUAGCAUGCAUGAGGCACUAGGUUCCACCCCUGGCAGCA
rnacentral:tRNA from 1 species